rnacentral:lncRNA from 10 species
CUGGUCUCAAACUCCUGACCUUGGAUGAUCCUCCCACCUCGGCUUCCCAAAGUGCUGGGAUUACAGGCGUGAGCCACUGCACCCGGCCAUGUUUUGUAUUUCUUAUGAAAUAGAAAUUAGCCAAUAUGAAUUAGGCUUUCUCUUGACAAGAUGAAAAUAUAUUUUGCAAAACAAUGCCAUUCAGCAGGAUAAUUUGGCCUUACCAAUGGAGUUUCACUAAUCUAUUCUGGUGACUGACUUACUUUAGUCUAAUGGGCUCAGCAAAAAAUAAAGUAAGCUUGUUAUUUGAAACAAUUAUUGUAUGUAUAUACUGCAGAUUCCAAUGAUAUCUCUCAGAGGUCUACACAUUUAACAAUAAAAUUCUUUCUCCAACACCUGUUUUUUGGCAUGGGAGGAGUAGUGGUCAUUUUUGUAGGUAAAGGAGACACAGAGAGCUCCCUACACAAGGAAGGAAAGUUGAGCAGACUGACUGAGGACUGUACUUUAUUAGUUGGAGUGAAUUCCGGUAUGCAUUGGCACAUCCAUUUCUGUGCCCACAUGGUAAUGCCUCUUUGUGAGGCAGAGUGCAAAACCACUGGGAAAAUUAAGAAUCACACUCAGAACUGAAGUUCAUACAGGGGAGAAGGAAACAGACAUGCAGUAGGCAGCCUAGAUGUGAGCCCUAGCAAGAGACUACUGAUGGAUUCCCCAAAGUGACUGCCUAAAUGUAGUGUGUUUACUACAAAGCUUGUCACAGACAGCUAAAAUGCAAAUACAAAUGAACUUUGAUGUACUUCGUGGCAAGACUCCCAGCCCUUCGAGCAAAUUCCUGAGUGAGGAAGCUGGUUCUGAAACAUGCCUGGGAACUGCACACAUGUGAACUUCCUGAGGCCUCUUCUCUUUAGCACUUAACAGCUUAAUGCAGUUAAGUAACAAGAUCUUGGAAGACAAGUGUUGAAGGUGAAAGAGGCACAAGAUAGAAGAAACCUGGGUCCUUAGAUCCUUGCUUGGAGGAAAACCACCUGCCAAUCCAGAACAUCAUUUUGGACUUCAUGAAAACUUUAGCUCCUGUUGAGACCAACACCUUCCCUGGAGAAUGCAGAGUGAAGGGAUUAGGCCCAUCACAAUUUUCCAUUCAUGAUGUUGGGUCAAGCAAGGCAUCACACAGAAUGAAUAGAAACAGAAACAGCCCCACAUGUGAAGUAGGAGCCAUGCUGGAAUGAACAAGGGCCACGGUAUGGGUGAGUUACACGGUACAGAGCACAGGGGCUGACUGCUUUGUGCUCUUCCAGGUGGGAUCAUUACUUGCCAGCCUUCCAGCUGAUGCCAGUGGCAACAGCACGACAGGCUGAACUGGAUUCUUUAUGACUAUGUAUUCAUUAGGGGGAAAAAGCACUUCCAAUGCAAAUGAUUGAAAUGGAAACAAGAUGUGCACUCUGCUGCCUAAAUGAAAGCUCUACCAGGUAGGCCAUUCAAACUCAAUUAAGAGUAGCAAAACAGGAUCUAUCAGGACAGUGGCUGUAACCCCUGUCACAGAGAAUGGACAGUGAGCGGUCCAAAUGGAUUGGGGGGCAUGAAUGGCACCUGACUUACAGCAGGAGCUCAGCACUUUUACUCUCUUUGCCGCUUCACUGGAACCAGGAGAAAAAGACAUUAGGAUGAAGGAUAAUGUGUGAUACACACAUAAAGAUGAAAGCGAGAGGGACACAUGCAAUGUCACUUAUUGGAAGGACCACUUUAGGCUGCUCUGUCCUCUCUCCCCUGAAAACAUGUUCCACAUUGUUUUAACCAUCUGUGGCCCACUCUGGAGCUCAAGGAACCCUGGCCUUUCUGCUUUAUUGUGAGCACAGCCAUAUGAAACUGCAAUCUGGCAGCUGAAGGGGAAAGUACUUUUACUGUCUCUGCUGAGAAAGGGUUUGGAUGAAUCGAAUCCCCUGUUAUGCGUGAAAUUGUACCCUCUAGAAAGCUCUGUUGAUGACCCAACCCACGGUACCUGUGAAUGUGACCUUAUUUGAAAAUAUGGUCUUAUAAAUGUAAUCAAGCAAAGAUGAGAUGAUACUGAAUUAGGGUGGGCCUCCACCAACAUGACUGGUGUCCUUAUGAGAAGCAAGGAAGAGACAUAAGGAGAACAUGGUGUGACAAUUGAGACAGAGAUUGGAGUGAUGCAUCUACAAGCCAAGAAAUGUCAAGGGCCGUGAGCCACACCAGAAGCUAAGAGAAAGGCAUGGGACUGACCCUCCCCUAGAGCCAUCAGAAAGAGCCUGACCCUGGCGGCACCUUGCUUUUGGACUUCUAGACUCCAGAAUUAUGAGAAUAAAUUUGUGUUGCUUUAAGCCACUCAGUUUGUGGUAAUUUGUUAUGACAGUUCUAAGAAACUAAUCCACCCUGCUAAAGAGUAAAUGUCUGAUGCAAAACUCACUACAUGGAUGAAAAGGCUGAGAUAUUCCGAAGAGUCAUAAUGAACUGUGCCGUCAUCUACAAAGGAAGUGCAGCACUGCAACAACUCAAGAUAGAUUCUGGAGACGUGGCAGGACAGACGUGCCUACCAGACUAGGAGCACUUUCAGGACAGCGUCAUGCCUUGUUCUCCUCCACAUCCCUCCGUGCCUGAAAAUCAGAAAUGCUCAAUUAAAUGUUGAAAAUGUCAAUAAAUUCAUAGGAAAACGAUCUCAGAUAAGUCAAUAACGUUAUGUUAUUUUAUUUUAUUUUUGAAAUGGAGUCUUGCUUUGUCACCCAGGCUGGAGUGUAGUGGCACGAUCUCAGCUCAUUGCAACCUCUGCCUCCCAGGUUCAAGCGAUUCUCCUGCCUCGGCCCCCUGAGUAGCUAGGAUUAUAGGCAUGCACCACCACGUCCAGCUAAUUUUUGUAUUUUUAGUGGAGACGGAGUUUCACCAUGUUGGUCAGGCUGGUCUCGAACUCCUGACCUCGUGAUCCACCCACCUCGGCUUCCCAAAUUGCUGGGCUUACAGGUGUGAGCCACCGCACCCAGCCAUGAUUAACCUUAUUUUAUGAUGUCAUGUAAGUCCUUACCACCACCUUCCAUGAAGACGUAACUGACAAAGACAUCUGAUUUGAUGCUUUCAUUGGAGAAACCCACCCUUGGCCAUUGAAGAGCACAACUUUGGGUUUCUUUGAGAUUUAAUCUGGUCCUUGGAUUCCCAAAUGGCAGACGUGGCCAGUAACAGCUUUUUACAAAUCUUCAAAUCCCACUGACACUGGGAUUCUGCCCCUCAGACGUGGCUGUGGUUUUUUCACUGGCAGGGCAGGAUAUGUUACUCUCCGCUUAACAUCGGCCCACUCACAGUGUUAGUUAGCCUGCUGUUUCAUACAUGAAUCCAUCUGAAAUGCCUCCGAGUCUCCAGGUGAAGGGUGCUGCCAUCAGCAGCAGCCAAUAAAUGAAAUAAUACCAAAUAUAAAAUCAGCCACAUUGGUCUCCUGGAGGUAAAUAGAGCACAGGGGCGUUUCAUUUACUGAAAGGCCAGAAUUGCGAUACCUGUAAAUGUUGAAUGUGAAUGUGUUUUAUAAAGUGUAAAGGGCUGUAAAGAAGUCAGUUAUUAUGUUUAUUAUUGCUCCUGCUCUGUACACUUGAUCAAAUGACAAACCCAAAGGCUCACCUCUCUGGGCUCCGGUUUCCUUACUCAAAUGAGGGAAUUAUGUUUAAUAUCCCAAGCUCCCAACUAAAUCUUUUUUUUUUCCUUUGACUCUAUGAAUCUAUCAGCAGGAACUUCCAUCCAAAUUCCUGAAAUGUGGGAAUAUAUUUGAUGACGCUGUUUACAUAUAAUAUUAAUUUAUUUUGCAUAAAUUUUUCAGAAUAUGUUUUGUAUAACAUAGAAGAUGAAGGGGGAAAAAGUAAAGUAAGAUGGGAAAGUAGGCCAUAAGGAAGGAUAAGGAGAAACGCUUAAGAAAAUCCACCUAUUAUAAUAAUUAAAAUUCAGCUUACCUGGAAAGGGGAGGAGAGCAUUUAUGAUUAACAUGAAUGUAGUCUGUGCUCAUUGCAAAGUAAAUUUUCAGAAAAAAAGGGCAAAAUCUGAUUAUUUUAAUCGUCAGAUUAAAUGCAAUUAGAAAUCCCACCUACCUUUUAAAGUAAACAGCAAACUUAGUAUUUUACUACAUAAAAGAAACAAUUGAAAUAAUCCUAACUUCAGGUUAUCGUUGCAUAUAACAGAACAUUAUAUUUGAAAAUGAUCCUCAUUGAGUUUUUUGGAUUCAACAACUUUUUCUGUGGCUAAAAAUGUCCCUUGAGUUUCUGAAAUCUGCUAGAAUGCUGGGAAGAGCUGUGCAGAAAUACCUCCAAAGGGUCAGAAAGUAAUUUAGGAUUUUUAAUUCAAUGGAAUCAAUCUUUCUUGUGUAUUUUUACUUACUUUUUUAGACAAUAGGCCAAUGAUUGUAGGGUUUGUUCUAGCCUUGAAACCAACUCUCUGCAGAGCAAUUCCUGUUUCCACAAAGGGUGCAUCAGGAUGCAUGGGACCCCCGGAUCACAGGCCCCACGUGUGAACGAAGCAACACAGACCAUGGAUAACAGAGACCUCUCUAGGGUGAGUUCUCUUGAGAUGCAGGGCACGAUCAACAGGACGAACAAGCCUAAAGAUGACAAAUGGGUAUACUGGCAUGGGCUGGACGAAAGGAGGCAAUAGGGCUAAAAACACAGAACCAAACCUGUCAUUUCUCUCCACAACUUCCUUUUGAUCUCAAAUAUCAUGUGUUCUCACUUAUAAGUGGGAGCUAAACAAUGGGUACACUUGGGCAUGAAGAUGGAAAUCAUAGACACUGUGGAUUCCAAAGUAGGGGAGAAUGGGAGAGGGGCAAGGGUUCAAAAAUUACCUGUUAGGCACUAUGUUCACUAUCUUUUUUUUUUUUUUCUUUUUUGAGACGGAGUCUCGCUUUGUCGCCCAGCCUGGAGUGCAAUGGCGCGAUCCCGGCUCACUGCAACCUCUGCCCACCAGGUUCAAGUGAUUCUCCUGCCUCAGCCUCCUCAGUAGCUGGGACUACAGGCAUGCGCCACCACGCCUGGCUAAUUUUUGUAUUUUUAGUAGAGACAGGGUUUCGCCAUGUUGGGCAGGCUGAUCUCAAACUCCUGACCUCAAGUGAUCCGCCCACCUCGGCCUCCCAAAGUGCUGGGAUUACACAUGAGAGCCACCGCACCUGGCCUAUGUUCACUAUCUGGGUAACAAGUACACUAGAAGCCCAAUCCCACUGUUAUGCAAUAUACCCAUGCCUAUGUACGUGUACCCCCUGAAAACAUGCAUAUGUACCCCCGAAUCUAAAAUAAAAUAAAAGAGAUGCAGAAAAGAAUAAUUUAAAAAAUAUUUUGAGAAAUGUAUAACAAGAGCCAUAAAAGUGUUUAUAUUCCCUUGUCCUAGUAAUUCUGCUUGUGGAUAUUUAUCUUAACAAAAUCAUCAGAAAUGUGUAGAAUGAUUUAUGGAUAAGCAUGUUCACUGAAGCAUUCCUUAGACUAUAGGAAAAUUUGGGAAAAAAACCCCAAUAUACAAAAAUGAGGAAACACUUAAAUUAAUCGUAGUCCAUUCAGAUGAUGGAAUGCAGUGUAGAUAUGUAAAAAUCAUAUUUUCAGAGAUGGCUGUUGAUCAAUGAAAAUGCCCAAUCUAUAACAUUCCAUGAAAAAGACAGAUAUACAGCCAUAUAUUCCAUACAAUUAUAAUUUUAAAUAUGUAUGAAUGUGUGUGUAUAUAUAAUAUAUGUGAAAAAAUUGGAAAGAAAUACACUAAAAUGUUAACUCAUUAUCUCUAAGUGGCAGGAUUAUGAGAUUACAGGUGAUUGUUUCUGGUUCUUUGUAUUUUUUAGUAUUUUUUUUUAUUUUUUUGAGAUGGAUUCUCACUCUGUUGCCCAGGCUGGAGUGCAGUGGCAUGAUCUCAGCUCACUGCAACCUCUGCCUCCCAGGUUCAAGCGAUUCUCCUGCCUCAACCUCCCGAGUAGCUGGGACUACAGGUGCGCACCACCGUGCCCAGAUAAUUUUUGUAUUUUUAGUGGAGAUGGGGUUUCAUCAUGUUGGCCAGGAUGGUCUUGAUCUCUUGACCUCAUGAUCCACCCUGCUUGGCCUCCCAAACUGUUGGGAUUACAGGCGUGAGCCACUGCGCCUGGCCUAUAUUUUAGUGUUCUAAGAUUUUUCUACAAUGACUCUGUAUUGCUUUUAAUGUCAAAAAUCUCAAUAAUUUUGAAGGUUAUGGUAUUUAUAUACUUUUUUAAAAAAUGACAAAUGUUCUCCCUAAAUCAGAAAUGUGGACACCGUGUUUUGGCUUUAGUGUAGUGAGGUGGAGUAUUAUGAUUAAAUACUGUGUUUUCAAGCAUUAAUGACUCAAAGAGCAGGUACUUACAGAGCACCUAUUAUUGCCAUCAACCAGUGUUAUUGAGCACUUACUCAAUAAGUGUUGGCCUCUGACUUUACGCCUAAGAGUCAGGAGACCACAAAAAAGCAACAAUGUCAGGUCUGCAAGGUGAAGGCAAGAAGCUCAUGUUCUAGGUACUUGUGACUGUCCUGUAAUGCUAAAGAAUGAACCAUUACCAAAGAUUUGGCAAACUCGCCCAAGCUUACUCCUAAGGAGUCUAACCUUUGCCCAAGUAUCUAGGACUCAGGCCCACCUGCUUAGCCUGGUCUCACUGAAGUGUGGAGGCAAAGCAUUUGCAGCUUCAUCAUAUUCCAUUUUGUCUCAUAAGGAAAUUGUGUUAGUCCAAGAGGCUUGGUGUGUUACAUGGUUGUACAGCUUAGUGCUUUCUUAGCACUCUGUUUAAGUGCUGACAACUUGAUAUUUUCAUCAAUGGUUGCUAUAUUUCUCCAAUGUUAGGUUGACAGGCUAAUAAUUUCAGAAGUCAAUUUCUCCCUCUCUCUCUCUUCUCCCAGUUUACAUAUUUCUAUUUUCCAAUUCCUUUAUCUGCAUUUUGUAAAUACCUCAAAAUAGUGGAAGGCAAGGCCUCUAGGAUCACUUGGCCCAAUCUCCAUAUAAUUGGAUCCUUAGGGCUUGCUAUAUCUUUAAAGAAAUUGAGGUCACCUUUUGUCACCAAGAAUUAAGCACCUGUUGUGUGACUGAUGGAGAUCUGUACACAGAGCACAUUGCCCAGGGCAGGGGUGAUUUGGUUACAGGCAGCCUCUCGAUGUAUGAUAAAAGUUGGCAUCAGGUUGUAAACAUUUUGCUCACUGUAGCAGAAAGCUCUCUGUGAACGGAGAGCUGUCUAAACAGGGUGGUUGGCCACAGAACCUGCCCAGGGAUGCACCUCCUUUCCACAUUAGCCCAUGGCCUUUCCAGCCCUGAAAUCUGAGUUGCAUGUGAGUCACUUAGACAGGCCAUCUGUCAAUUAUUAAGCGACAUCAGUGGGCCCAGCAAUUCCAUUCUGCGUAGUGCAAAGGUCCUCCACACAUUCCAGGUCUAUACCAUCAAAGUGGCUAUUUUUCUCAACCUAUCCCUGCCCUUUAAGAAAAUGGGGGUCAUUUAUUUCCAGGGAUCACUAUUUACACCCCAUUGGCAGGUAGUGGAGCCCAGUGGUUAAUAAACAACCUUGUUUUAAAUCCCAUCUCUGUUGUUUGCAAGCUGUGUGUCUUUCAGAAACUUUACUUAAAUUUCUUGAGCAUCAGUUUCCUCACAAGGGUGUGGUCAAGUGAUAAUCAAGUAUUUGUACUUUAACCCUGUACCUGGCUGAUAGCAAGCCCUCAGAAAAGAAUUAACUUAGAGUUUUUAUACAUUCCCUCCAGUACAAUGUUCCUAACAUACAAGGGGCAUAUGUGUGUAUUAUGAGUGGGAAGAAGGAAGGAAGGAUGCAAUUGAUAAGGCUUGCAUUCAACAUUGCUGUAGUCAAACCCUCUUUCCUUAGGAAGAUCUGGAUGUGCCAACAUUUCUUAUAUAUCAUAUGUGGAGGUGACUUAGGUUUUUCUUUCAGUACUUCAUCAUUUGAAAGAGCAUUUGGUGAUAAUGAGCAGGUUCUGAAGUCUGUGAACUAAACUAAAAGUAAAAAUAAAUGGGACGGUGAAAUUUUGUUUGUGCCUUAAGGGAACUCCCUUUUACCCUCCCACUAUGUUGAUGAUGUCAUGUUUGUUCUAACAUAUCAUCUAACAAUUCCCUCCAUUCAUUUUUUUUCUCCUUAUUUCUUUUCCUUUCAAGUAACAGUAUCUUCAACAAUCGUUCGGCUGUUCAGGAACUUAAAAAUCAUGAGACGAUUCUUAAAGGAUAGGAACUAACAUUGAUCACACAGUGUGUAAUCCCACAUCUAUAUACUGGCAAAUGAUGGCACAAACACCAUAAAAUCUCAGCUUGCUUUGUAGCCAUUCUGGAUUGCUGAGUUCUAGGCAAGUAAGAGCUGGUCCUUCAAAGCACCAAAAGAAAGAAAGGAAGGAAG